UUUCUCUCUCUCUCUCUCUCAUUGAUGAUUGAAUGUUAGUCUUUUAGCUUGACCUAAUACUCCAGAUUGUUAAAGUGCCAAAAGGAGAAGUCUCAUUUUCUUCUUCCUGUUUUCUGCUUCUUGUUAUCUUGUUUAAAAUGAAGCGGCCAGCUUUUAUUUGUUUAUUUGCAAAAUUAUCUGUUUGUAUAUCUGGGUGGGCUAAGACAAAAUUCUAAUUCUUAUAUCAAUACUAGCAUAGCAAUAGUUUUUGUUUAAAUUUCUCUUAAUUCAUCAUCUAAAAGAUCUUUGUUUCAACUUAUUUAAAUUCUGAGAGAUUUAUUUUAUGCCAUAAGACUUUUUUAUGAAUUGAUUCUAAAAACCUUUUGUGAUGGUAUUGAGUAGGGGAUUUUGUGCUGUCAUGUAAAUGGGGCAGGUUCCAAAGCUUCUGUUGCAUA
rnacentral:misc_RNA from 1 species